AACGAACGCUGGCGGCGUGCCUAACACAUGCAAGUCGUGCGAGAAAGUUCCUUCGGGAGCGAGUAAAGCGGCGCACGGGUGAGUAACACGUAGGUAAUCUGCCCCCCAGUCUGGAACAACUAGAGGAAACUCUAGCUAAUGCCGGAUGAGACCACGAUCCCUUCGGGGGUUGCGGCCAAAGAUGGCCUCUACUUGUAAGCUAUCGCUGAGGGAUGGGCCUGCGGGCCAUUAGCUUGUUGGUGAGGUAACGGCUCACCAAGGCUGUGAUGGCUAGCUGGUCUGAGAGGAUGACCAGCCACACUGGGACUGAGACACGGCCCAGACUCCUACGGGAGGCAGCAGUGGGGAAUAUUGCGCAAUGGGCGAAAGCCUGACG
rnacentral:rRNA from 1 species